rnacentral:lncRNA from 1 species
AGUCCAGAUUUGGGUGCAAGCACCGUCCAAGUAAGAACAUUAUUGCAAACUCUAUUAUUCAAUGCUCUGUAAUUACCAUAUGGCCAUAAUCCUGGGUUUUGAUCAGAUUAUUUCUCUAGUAUGUUUAUUUUGAUGAUAUUUAGUUCAAGUGAUGUGGUCACUUAUUCCUUGUGCUUCUCUUCCAGACAAAUACUAUAUUGGUACCGUGUGGAAUGUGCUGAUCAUUGCGCCAGAGCUAAAAUGGUCACAUUAGUCUGGAAGAAAUUGAUGGUUUUGCUCUCUCUUGCCCUUUCCUCAAAAAGCUACAACUUACCAAAAAAUUCUGGUUUGAGGAGUUUCUGAAAUGCAUGAAACUUGAUGGUAGCUAGCUAUAUGGUGAGCACUAGUUUUUCUUAGCCUUUUAAAUUAUGU